AUACCCCCUGCAGUGAUGUCACAGCCCCAGAGACGGGACACUGAAAGAGGAGGCCUGUAAGCCGGAUUGCUCGAUCCAGACGGUAGUGGUUGUGCCCCAGGAGUAUCGGAGGGCUUGGCCGUAUCAGAGGGGCAGGUGAAAUACCACCAUUGAUCCCGAACAGACGGAGAAGGUAGACGAUAGAUUGGACACUUAUGGAGGGGAGGGGGAGUGUCUGCCUGUUCCUGUUUCCCAGACCCUUUCAGUGGGUGUCCCAGUCUAACCUAAUCAACAAUGCUAAACUGGGAGCUUCUAAGGAGAAAAACUAAGAAGAACUAUUUAAGGAGACCUACUGGUCAGAAUAAACUAAUGCAAGAUUCUACCAAUAGGAAGACAUCUUUUCAUCUGCAUGAAAUGAAGAAAGCAACAGGAAUGGAUUGGCACACAGUGAUCUAAUUCAGAAAUUGGAUUUAAGGUUAUA